CAUGGAGGUUAGAGGUCUCUGCAUCAGACUGUUGACGUGUGUAAUCAUUCUGUUGGGUGCACAUUUUCAGAGGAGCUAUACUCAAGAAGAUGUUUCAGAUGCAGCUUUUCGUAUCACUACAGACAGACUGCAGUUCUUUGAAUAUGAGUCCGUCUCUUUUCACUGCGAGGCUCUAAACGGCUUGACUCAGCUGAGAGGAAUCAGAAAUACUAAGGAAUUCAUCCCAAACUGUGAUACUAAGAGGGCGUCAGCACUGACCUGCACCAUUAAAGAGGCCUAUGACACAGACAGUGGAGUGUACUGGUGUGAGACUAAAAGAGGAGAGAAAAGCAACACUGUCAACAUCACUGUCACCGCUGGCUCUGUGAUCUUGGAGAGUCCUGUGAUGAUGAUGGAGGGACACACUGUGACACUGCGCUGCAGAUACAAGACAGCUUCCACCAACCUCCAAGCUGACUUCUAUAAAGAUGACAUCCACGUGGAGAGAAGUCCUGAAAACGAGAUGACCAUUAAGAAUGUUUCCAAAUCUAAUGAAGGCCUCUACAAGUGCAUCAUCUCUGGUGUUGGAGCAUCACCAGGAAGCUGGCUGGCUGUAGGAGUUAACCAUCCUUUCCACCGUACCUCCCCACAAGUCCGCACCCCGCUGUUGGUUGCUGUCACUAUUUUAAUGGUGGCUCUGGUGCUGCUGGUGUUGGGAUUUCUUCAAAUAAGGAAACACAGAGUUUUCUAUCCAUCAGUGAUGCUCUGCUUUUCCUCAAAGACACCAGCAGCAUCACAGUCGGGUGAGGAAGAUCAAAAUGUGUCUGGAGAGGACUCUGCAGAUGAUCCAGACGGUGUGACGUAUGCAGUUGUUGUCCUGAAACAGAGAAAGAAUAAAGACCCGGCAGACGCUGCUGAUAAUUUGAGCCUCAAGACAAAACGCAGCAGAAAACCACAGAGGGAAAGAGAUGACGAUGAGUCCUCACUUCAACCCAUUUACUCCACCUUAAAAACAAGUGAGACUUCACAAAUCUUCAUGUAGCUUCCCAGCUGCAGAUAUUUGAACACUACAUCGUUACCUGCAGAAUGUGAAUCUUUGAAUACCCCAGCAGCCGAAGACUCAAGUGUAACAGAGGAGGAACCUCUCUAUUCUCCUGUCCGGAAGGCCACAAAGAGCAGAGACUGAUGAAUGGAGGAGAGACUCUCGUGUGCAAGAGAAGAACUGACAAUCAUACAUUUUGUUGAGUCUUGAAGCUUUGUCUUGAACUUAUGUGUGUAUUUAAUCACCUUUUUACACAUUUUAGUGUAUUAAGCAUCAAUACAAUGUUUCACUUCAGUUGAAUAUAGCAACCAACAAAAAUGUUUCAUGCCAUAUUAUCCU